rnacentral:rRNA from 1 species
CCUACGAGGGGCUGCAGUGAGGAAUAUUGGUCAAUGGACGAGAGUCUGAACCAGCCAAGUAGCGUGAAGGAUGACUGCCCUAUGGGUUGUAAACUUCUUUUAUAUGGGAAUAAAACAGGGUAUGCAUACCCUCUUGUAUGUACCAUAUGAAUAAGAAUCGGCUAACUCCGUGCCAGCAGCCGCGGUAAUACGGAGGAUCCGAGCGUUAUCCGGUGUUAUUGGGUUUAAAGGUGGCGUAGGUGGAUUGUUAAGUCAGUUGGGAAAGUGUGCGGCUCAACCGUAAAAUUGCAGUUGAAACUGGCAGUCUUGAGUACAGUAGAGGUGGGCGGAAUUCGUGGUGUAGCGGUGAAAUGCUUAGAUAGCACGAAGAACUCCGAUUGCGAAGGCAGCUCACUGGACUGCAACUGACACUGAUGCUCGAAAGUGUGGGUAUCAAACAGGAUUAGAUACCCCUGUAGUC